rnacentral:rRNA from 1 species
GAUGAACGCUAGCGGCAGGCCUAAUACAUGCAAGUCGAACGGUGUAGCAAUACACAGUGGCGCACGGGUGCGUAACACGUAUGCAACCUACCUUACAUUGGGGGAUAGCCUUUCGAAAGGGAGAUUAAUACCGCAUAAGACAGUAACUGGGCAUCCAGUAGCUGUUAACGAUUUAUCGAUGUAAGCUGGGCAUGCGUCCAAUUAGUUAGUUGGCGAGGUAAUGGCUCACCAAGACGAUGAUUGGUAGGGGAACUGAGAGGUCAAUCCCCCCCACUGGCACUGAGAUAGGGGCCAGACUCCUACGGGAGGCAGCAGUAGGGAAUAUUGGGCAAUGGGCGCAAGCCUGACCCAGCCAUGCCGCGUGCAGGAAGAAGGCGUUAUGCGUUGUAAACUGCUUUUAUACAGGAAGAAACGACCCUUGCGAGGGGCAUUGACGGUACUGUAUGAAUAAGCACCGGCUAACUCCGUGCCAGCCGCCGCCGUAACAC